rnacentral:rRNA from 1 species
UACGUAGGGUGCGAGCGUUGUCCGGAAUUAUUGGGCGUAAAGAGCUUGUAGGCGGUUUGUCGCGUCUGCUGUGAAAAUCCGGGGCUCAACCCCGGACUUGCAGUGGGUACGGGCAGACUGGAGUGUGGUAGGGGAGACUGGAAUUCCUGGUGUAGCGGUGGAAUGCGCAGAUAUCAGGAGGAACACCGGUGGCGAAGGCGGAUCUCUGGGCCUUACCUGACGCUGAGACGCGAAAGCGUGGGGAGCAAACAGG